GGGAAUAUUGGACAAUGGGGGAAACCCUUAUCCAGCGACGCCGCGUGAGGGAAGAAGGUUUUCGGAUUGUAAACCUCUGUCAGUGGGGACGAUAAUGACGGUACCCACGGAGGAAGCCACGGCUAACUACGUGCCAGCAGCCGCGGUAAUACGUAGGUGGCAAGCGUUGUCCGGAUUUACUGGGUGUAAAGGGAGCGUAGACGGCGGGGCAAGUCUGGAGUGAAAGGCCGGGGCCCAACCCCGGGACCGCUCUGGAAACUGCCCGGCUGGAGUGCGGGAGAGGUAAGCGGAAUUCCUAGUGUAGCGGUGAAAUGCGUAGAUAUUAGGAGGAACACCAGCGGCGAAGGCGGCUUACUGGACCGUGACUGACGUUGAGGCUCGAAAGCGUGGGGAGCAAACAGG
rnacentral:rRNA from 1 species